GAUGGAAUUACUGGGCUUCUCUCCAAUGCUCUUUAUUACAACACAGAGAGGCCAGCAUCGCUCCACAAAAGUUUUCGUUAAAAACGUCAAUGUUCAGAGGCAUCACUCAGUACCAGUCAUGCAGAGACUUUAUGAGGCUGUUGUAAGAGAUAAGCCUAUCCCCUGUAUGUCACUGAUGCACUACUUCAAAGAUGUGAGGACAAGAACAUACACCUGCGAGUAGUCUUAGACAUUGCCUGUGUUGUUGCCCCACAUUUGCAGAAAUCAGGGGAGGGCAUACCACACAACAUCUCCUUAGACUUACCAGCAUUUCAUGUUUAUGGACACAAAUUGCCCUGCCAGAUCAAGUACAGUACCAGAUGGCUUGAUGGGUUUGGGCUCACAGACGGGGAAGGAAUGGAAAGGCUGUGAUCUUUCCUCCAAAGAUUUGCCAGAGUCACAAAGGAGAUGACUCCAUCUCAUCGCCUUGACCUACUGACUGAUGCCCUUUUGCAUUAUGGACGGAGGAAAUCAACUGACCUAGAGGUGCAGCUCCUGCAAAGAGUUGACAAAGCAGAGAAAAUAUUGAUUCUCGCUCCUCAAGAAGAUAUCUCAUCUGUCAUCAGAGAGGCACCAGUGUGAUUUCUUAAGGAGACAUUGAGAGAUGGAAAAAAGCUAGCCCAACAGAAACCAAUAAAUACUGUCUUUAGAUGGAAAAGGGACUACAUCAUCAGACUGAUUCAGUUCUACAAGUUCAAAAUUGAGGACUCUGCUGAACAUUGAGGAAAAAAUACUGUAUUGGGAGAAGAUGGCAAGAGUCUGAUUCAAACUUCCAGUCUACCCUUAAAGAUGUGGGCCGUGAGCUCAGAGUCCAACUGCAAGGCUAGAACUGAAUCAAGGGAGAGAGCAGUCCUCCUCCACCUGAGAAGAAUAUAUCCAGCUUUGCUUCAGAUGGGCAGAGCAUUGCCAUUAGACUCUCCAAGCAGGUAGCCAGUUCCAACAAUAGACUGAGACAGGCAAUAAAAGAAUACAACAGCAUUCAAUGGUCACCGCAUAUGAGCUUCUUACCUGCGACAAUUGAUUUUCAGAAAUCCUCUUGGCAUGUCCACUUCUGCUUUGAUGACACUAUUGAAGAAGAUGAUGUUUUGAGGAGUCUAAAAAAGCGAGGGAUUGAUGCCUUACGUAAUAUAAUGUUCGCCUUACGUGUGCAAACAUGAUGUUUUACUAGAUCUGAUUUAUUUUAAAACGUAGGUACUGUUUUUAAGCACACAUAUUCACACUAGUCUGUGUGAGGACAAAAUUGUGUGUUUACCAUUGUGAUGUUACUUAUUUAAUGUAAUGUACAAAUGUGGUCAAUGUGUGUAAGGUUGUGAGCUAAGUUGAAAUGACAAAGUAUUGAAUCUUGAACCCUUUGAAACAAAUACUGUAAAA